rnacentral:lncRNA from 1 species
UUUGUUGUAACCGUUUGAAGAGUAGUGGAAGUUUGUUAUUUCAAUUCUCUCUUUUCUCUCUUCUCCAAUAUUCAUAUUUUUCAUCCUGUGCACCAACAAACAUUUGCAAAUUUCAAUAAUAAAGAAAUAUACAAAUUACUUUUAAUAUCAAUAUGAUCAAUAAAUAAGUUUUUCAUAUUAGCAUGCACAUAUAAUAUGAGAUAACUAAUUUUAAAUUUAAUAAGUUAUUGCACAAACAACAAUACAAUUGAAAN